UAGAAUGUAGUGUAGUGGUAGCACGGAGAGCUUUGAAUUCUCAGGUCUAGGUUCAAGUCCUAGGGUUCUAG
rnacentral:tRNA from 1 species